rnacentral:misc_RNA from 1 species
GUAGGUGAACCUGCGGAAGGAUCAUUAUUGAAUAAACCUGAUGUGACUGUUAGCUGGCUUUUCGAAGCAUGUGCUCGUCCAUCAUCUUUAUCUCUCCACCUGUGCACAUUUUGUAGUCUUGGAUACCUCUCGAGGAAACUCGGAUUUGAGGAUCGCCGUGCUGUACAAGUCGGCUUUUCUUUCAUUUCCAAGACUAUGUUUUUAUAUACACCAAAGUAUGUUUAUAGAAUGUCAUCAAUGGGAACUUGUUUCCUAUAAAAUUAUACAACUUUCAGCAACGGAUCUCUUGGCUCUC